GACGAACGCUGGCGGCGUGCUUAACACAUGCGAGUCGAACGGAAAGGCCCUGCUUUUGUGGGGUGCUCGAGUGGCGAACGGGUGAGUAACACGUGAGUAACCUACCCUUGACUUUGGGAUAACUUCAGGAAACUGGGGCUAAUACCGGAUAGGAGCUCCUGCUGCAUGGUGGGGGUUGGAAAGUUUCGGCGGUUGGGGAUGGACUCGCGGCUUAUCAGCUUGUUGGUGGGGUAGUGGCUUACCAAGGCUUUGACGGGUAGCAGGCCUGAGAGGGUGACCGGCCACAUUGGGACUGAGAUACGGCCCAGACUCCUACGGGAGGCAGCAGUGGGGAAUAUUGCACAAUGGGCGGAAGCCUGAUGCAGCAACGCCGCGUGCGGGAUGACGGCCUUCGGGUUGUAAACCGCUUUCGCCUGUGACGAAGCGUGAGUGACGGUAAUGGGUAAAGAAGCACCGGCUAACUACGUG
rnacentral:rRNA from 1 species